AACGAACGCUGGCGGCAUGCCUAACACAUGCAAGUCGAACGAGACCUUCGGGUCUAGUGGCGCACGGGUGCGUAACGCGUGGGAACCUGCCCUUAGGUUCGGAAUAACUCCCCGAAAGGGGUGCUAAUACCGGAUAAUGUCUUCGGACCAAAGAGUUAUCGCCUUUGGAUGGGCCCGCGUUGGAUUAGCUGGUUGGUAGGGUAAAAGCCUACCAAGGCGACGAUCCAUAGCUGGUCUGAGAGGAUGCUCAGCCACACUGGGACUGCGACACGGCCCAGACUCCUACGGGAGGCAGCAGUGGGGAAUAUUGGACGCUGGGCGAAAGCCUGAUCCAGCAAUGCCGCGUGAGUGAUGAAGGCCUUAGGGUUGUAAAGCUCUUUUACCCGGGAUGAUAAUGACAGUACCGGGAGAAUAAGCUCCGGCUAACUCCGUG
rnacentral:rRNA from 1 species